UACGAGGGGGCGAGCGUUGUUCGGAAUUAUUGGGCGUAAAGGGCGCGUAGGCGGUCGGAUAAGUCUUGUGUGAAAUCUUCGGGCUCAACUCGAAGUCUGCACAGGAAACUAUCUGGCUUGAGUGUGGGAGAGGUGAGUGGAAUUCCUGGUGUAGCGGUGAAAUGCGUAGAUAUCAGGAGGAACACCUGUGGCGAAAGCGGCUCACUGGACCACAACUGACGCUGAGGCGCGAAAGCUAGGGGGAGCAAACAGG
rnacentral:rRNA from 1 species